rnacentral:rRNA from 1 species
GAUGAACGCUGGCGGCGUGCCUAAUACAUGCAAGUCGAGCGAACGGACGAGAAGCUUGCUUCUCUGAUGUUAGCGGCGGACGUGUGAGUAACACGUGGAUACCCUACCUAUAAGACUGGGAUAACUUCGGGAAACCGGAGCUAAUACCGGAUGAUAUUUUGAACCGCAUGGUUCAAAAGUGAAAGACGGUCUUGCUGUCACUUAUAGAUGGAUCCGCGCUGCAUUAGCUAGUUGGUAAGUUAACGGCUUACCAAGGCAACGAUGCAUAGACGACGUGACAGGGGGGUAGGCGACAUGGGAAGGGGGACAGGGACCAUGGGCCUGAGGGAGGCAGCAGUAGGGAAUCUUCGGCAGUGGGCGGAAGCCUGACGGAGCAAGGCCGCGUGAGUGAUGAAGGUCUUGGGAGCGUAAAAAUCGGUUAUUAGGGAAGAACAGAUGUGUAAGGAACUGUGCACAUCGUGACGGUACCUAAUCAGAAAGCCACGGCUAACUACGUG